rnacentral:misc_RNA from 1 species
AAUUGAUGCAUUUCCACCUAGAUCUGUAUGAAUAAUGACACAGCCACAAUAAUUAUGACUCAGCGAGAUGCCACAGUUUAGAGAGCACGGGAUGAAGAGAGAUAUGAGAUAUCUGAGUUUUGAAACUGUUCAAGUACCCAAGCAUAUUGGUUAAAUAGAAGCAUGGUAUAAGAAAGAUAAAAGAAGUAGCACUCACUGUCUGCAAAUCUAAGAACAGGA